rnacentral:SRP_RNA from 2 species
CCGUGCUAGAUGGGGAGAUAGCGGCGCCCUGUAACCCGCAAUCCGCUCUAGCGGGAUUGAAUUCCUCAUUUGAGGCUUAUCUAUUGUUUGGCCUGCCCUUAACAAGUGGUGUUGACAGCUUGGUCUUGCGCAAUGGGAACCUGUGAACCAUGUCAGGUCCGGAAGGAAGCAGCAUUAAGCAGUGCUUCCCAUGUGCCGCGAGGUUGCCGGGCUCGAGCUAACUAUUAAGGUAACGCGAGUGAUAGUAAGUCGAUAUGAGGUGCACGG